rnacentral:rRNA from 1 species
AGGUGGCUAGAAAAUGCCACACUCCGGGAACAAUAUCCGGCUCUAUACAACAUUGUGCGCCACAGGGGUGACACUAUCGCCAUGGUAAUGGAAUCAUUUCCACCAAAUAUGACGUUUAGAAGAGAUUUAAUUGGACCCAGACUCCAAUCGUGGAACAUCCUGCUCCAGCGGUUGUCCACGGUGCAAUUGUCACAUGGCUCUGAUGUAUUCGGAUGAAACCUUCAUGGGAAUGAAAAAUUCUGUGGAGUCUAUGUAUAG